AACGAACGCUGGCGGCAUGCCUAAUACAUGCAAGUCGAACGAGACCUUCGGGUCUAUUGGCGCACGGGUUUGUAACGCGUGGGAACCUGCCCUUAGGUUCGGAAUAACUCUCCGAAUGGGGUGCCAAUACCGGAUAAUGUCUUCGGACCAAAGAUUUAUCGCCCUUGGAUGGGCCCGCGUUGGAUUAGCUAUUUGGUAGGGUAAAAGCCUACCAAGGCGACCAUUCAUAGCUGGUUAGAGAGGCUGGUCAGCCACACUCGGACUGAGACACGGCCCAGAAUCCUACGGAAGGCAGCAAUGGGGAAUAUUGGAAAGCGGGCGAAAGGAUGAUCCAGCACUGCCGCGUGAAUGAUGAAGGCCUUAGGGUUGUAAAGCUAUUUUACCCGGGAUCAUAAUGACAGUACCGGGAGAGAAAGCUCCGGCUAACUCCGUG
rnacentral:rRNA from 1 species